ensembl:lncRNA
AAAAUCUGCCCAUUAAACUCAUUUGCAGCAAGAUUUUGUUUCAAGGCCAUAAGCAGAUCGUAUUUAUGAUUAAGAUAAUUCUGAAACUGUCUUCUGCAAACAGAUCUUUGUAGGACAAGGCUGAGUGACAGACAACCAAUCCAAAGUCCCCUGUCACCAUUACAUUGCAGCACUGUGGGGACUUGGGUUCUGGACGUUCUGUGAGAGAUUUAAAACAAAAUGUUUCCACUAGCUUUCUCUCCCCCCCCAAAAUCAGGCUGAGCCUUGGAAGGAUGAGUCUAUGUUAGCAGCAGUAAGAACCACAUUCACUAUCACAGCCAGCAAUUUAUUUUUCUCAUAUUAAAUGAGCCUUUUGUUCCAGAGAAGGUAGAUCUCACUUACAUGCCUGUACAAAAGUGAAAUGCAAGCUCAAGCUGAAAGCAUCUAUACUGCAAAGUUCUUUGGAUUGUGUACAGUGCAUUUACAGAGUGAGAAGGCUGGCCUAGUGACAUACAGAAUUAAGCUUGACAAUGGCAGAGCAGUAGUUCUCUGAGCUGCAUUUGAAGAGUGACUGGGCAGAUUUUCGUAUGGCAAAUUUUUACACCAUACCUGUUCAUUUGUACGCCUCCCAUCUUUUAAAGGAACAUAACAACUUCUUUGCAAAUGCAGUGACUCUUUAAGAAUUUCUCUACAGAAGAGUACUCUCAUUUUUCAGUCAAUUAAUUGCAGAUUAUUUAUUACAUACAGAAAAAUAAUUAUCCCCAAAGAUAAUUAAAUGUUUCAAGACUAAGGAGCAAAGCAAAUGUAGGUUGAAAGUCAUUAUGUACCGAUACAAAAGACUUUUUGUCAGUAAUUUAAUCAUGCAGACAUCCAAAAUAAAUUCUACAGAUCCUAUCCUCAUUGUCUACAGAGAAUUCUAUCUGCAUAAAUAACCUCGUUGGAGUAUCGUACUCUUGGCAUUUUGGUAAGGAACAGUUUUGAGUAGAUCUAUAUUAAGGCCAUAUUUUGAUCCAAGACACAAGCAUGGAAUUGUCUCACUCCCCCCUCUCUGAUGUGGAGCACUACCUGGAGAAAAGGAACAGCGCUGACUUUGAAUAAUCCAGCCUGGAGUGGGGCCAGGGCUUGGGCUCCUCCUUGCCAGCUGCAGGGCCCCAGUGCAGCAAGAGCUUCCAAAGGCUAUGUUGCCUCCACAAGUGCCAGAAUGGAUCAACACACUGGCUUCAGCCAGAAGUGGACUCAAAGUAGCUGUUGUUCCUUCUCCCUAAGGAACAUUUUCAGAGGAAUGCCUUAGAGGUAAGAACUAAGGUUCCCAAAAAGGCUAACCUCACGUCAGGAAGGACUGAAGCAUACUCAUUUGCUAAAUGCUCCAUAAAGGGUGACAUUCUUCAGUUACUUUUUGGAUAAAUCCCACUCUGCUUCUGAGAGAAUAUUUAUAGAGAACAUCUCCUGAGCAUCCUGCAAGUGACUGACACAGAUACACAUGGAUUUUGUUUAUUCUCGUCUGCCUUGGUUUAAAAUUUUAUACAUGUCCCCUAGGCACGACUUUGAUGCUGAUUUUUCUAGGGAAAAAAAAUGAAUACGUAAACAAAGAAGUCAUACAUAAAUAAAAUAGUAAAGCAUAAAUCAAAGUCAGCUCCAUUUUUUUUUCUUAAAUGCCAAAUACUUUAAGAAGCAAGAUUCUGUUUCAAUGGCUGCCUUGCCUUAGUUCUUGUCUACUUCAAUUAUGGGGGCUUUUCUUUCUGCAUCAUGACCUUCUGAGGAAUUUAGUUACAUUCUAAAAUUUUAUAACUGCAAAGACAGAAAGCUAAGACCUGUGAAACAGUUUCAUAGCAUCAGCGUUUCGUCUUUUCCCUAUGUGAAAUUUAAAAUGAGAGAGAGGCCAGUUGUCUAUCUAAUGAGAUGGUCUUGUGUCCUUUGUCACCUACUAGCAUGACAAAUCCCGUUACCCAGCUUUUCCUGAGACAUUCUCAGCUAGAUCCCAGGUGGGAAGUCUCUUGCAGACUUUUGUAAUGGCCAUGUACGUAUUUUGCCUCCCUUACUCAACUCUUUGCACUAGAUGGGUGGUAUUGGCUUCAUAGAGUUCUUGUCAAAGAGCAGCCAAAAGUACUUCCACUGUGGAAGUCCAAUCCCUGAAAUGCUGUCGAGAGCAUUGACCCCCAUAUGGAUCUCCUCAGCAAGUGCUGUAUAUGCCAGCAAGGUCUAUCUUAAUACUCAGUUUCUCCAGGAAUCCAAAAUGUGUUACUUCUGUACAGGAUUCGCGUGUUUGGUCAGUUGUUGCCCUAUCCUUUCCCCUCAAUUUGUAGCAACCAUAAAUUGUCUUUGGCUGGCUCCUGAAGUGGCAUUGCUUGCUUGUUGGCUUUCAGAUGCCAGAUUUCUGUGAAAUAAUUGGGCUCAGUAAAGAUGAGAUAUAAAAAGAUAAAAAUCAGCCCCAAUGGUCCAUUCUGUCACUUUCUUUUUUAAUUCAGACUCUGCCUAUGAAGCCCAAGCAACCCAAGCUAGGCUCAACUGUGUUGAAACCAUGUUUGUCCCAGGUGUGUCAAAUUGGUUCAGAAAGUAAGCCAUAAUCUGGGAUUACAUGUAGCUAGGAUAUUAUUUUCUGCUUUUAAAGAAUUUCUUCUUUUUUUUCUGCCUGUAUUGAUUAUUUCCUGUGUUUGGUUUCAGCUGUUCGGUAGCUAGCAUGAGACCUCAGACUGAGGAAACAUCACAAUGCACAGACUCAGCUGAAUAGCUCCCUGCCCACACAUCUUUCUAUGUAGUACUUCAAAAUAUGCAUUUCCUGCACAUGCUAUAAUUAGGCUUUUUCAUUCUCCCUCCAGUUGUUAUUAAAAUACUCAUUAUCUACUACAAAACACUUUUAUUAUGCUAUUUUUUAUAUCCCUCUUGUUACUUCAGGAAGCAAAUAAAGACAUUUUAGUGGAUGUAGUUCUAACAGGGGAAAUUCCAGCACUGCUUCACCAUGGCAAUGGGGUGCAAUCAUCAAUGAAGCAACAACUUCACUGUGGAUCACUGCAACUGCUAAAAGAUCUGAAGCUGGCUUGCAGCCACAGAUGACAGUCUGCACCUCUUUGAGCUGUGUAGGCAAAUGCUGAACUUGAGUCCAGUUCAGAAGAUCUUGAAAGGAUUAAUACCGGCCCUUGGACCUCAAGCAGGAGACAAGAGGUGAAGAAGUGAAGAGGCAGAAGAUUCUUUGACUGUCAAUAGUUUGUGAAUUGAGUAAAAAUUCCACAAAAUGUGGCUUGUCCAGAGCAGGAUAUUUGCUACUAUCUCUGAAUGAUGUCUUACUCUCAGAGAAGACACUGGAUUCUCAGUCCAAAGUUCAGCCCUUUCAAAAAGGAUAAUAAAGCAAAAGAUAAUAAAAAGAAAGAAAAACCUUUCAGAUGUAAUCUUUGACUCCUAACAGAGGGAGCUGGGAAAGGGCUUUGGGUUGAUUUCUAAUUCCAUACACUGCUUGUCUGAGUUGACACUUCCAGCUUCACACCUGAAGAAACAAAAGGAAAGAUGCAACGCCACUGUUUGCAGCUGACCUCUAGCCAACUGCUGGAGUUGCAUUCAGUACCCAAGCAGCAUGUUCCAGCCACAGCUGCAAAUGUUCUAGAAGGUUUGGAAAUUGUUUCUGAAAUGUUAAUUCAUUCAAAGUGCUUCUGAAGGGAAAAGACCUGUCAGAGAUGCUAGACCUCUCAGAAGAAUUUCCAAGGCAACAUGUUCAUGCUCAUGGAUAUCUCUGAUUAAAAUAUGUCCCUUCUUUGGUGUUAAUCUGAUCUAGAAGGUGCAAAUUAGGCUGUGAGAAGACUGAAAGGAAUAUGUUCUGGAUUUAUUUGUACAGAAGUAUAUAAAUUUUGAGUAUGAACUCAAGGCACUAAAAAGACCUUACCAUAAUCAGGUAAUUAUGAUUUCCAUUUUAGCUGAAUUGAAGUAUGAUAAUGCACCCCUGUAAAUUUAAACCUUUAUGUAUGAUCUGAACUUGCUUUGACUUUUCCCAUGCGAGAUACAGAUUAAACUUUUUACUUAUCUCCAAACAUGAUCAAACACGCAAGGAAUAUUAAUGUGUUUAAUGUGCACAGUUAGACAGAAAUGCACUUCCUGUAUGAGCAAAGAGUUUCAUAAUUGUCUGUGGCUAAAACAAAAAGGUGAUAUUAUACUGAAAGCAAGGUAACAUGAGGAACGUAGUUCCAUCUAACUUUGAAAUACUUCAAUGUUAAUAGAGAGUCUGGUGGUAACAGGCUCACAAAUCAAGAUAAAAGUUCAAAGAUGCAUAUGUAAGCAAUCAAACGCUAACUGCAUAGCUGAAUGCACAUUAGACAGUCAACUUAGAUAUAAGUUUCCUGUAAACUGUGGUUUACUGCACAUACAUUGCUCAAAAUAUCAUUGUUUACGUAAGAAGUACCAUGGAGUGCACAGUAUUUGUCUGGAGGAAGAUAUUAGAAAUUCAUGGCAAAUGAACACUGUAGUUCAUUGCUAAUUCUCUUUUCCUUUUCUUUGAUCAAUAGAACUUUGUCAGCACUGAGAUUUCUCUCCACUCAUCUGGCACCUCUCUCCUCAUCAUGCUUUGCUUCAAAACAUACACAGAAAAUUUAAAUCAUACAGUUUCACAGGAUCAUGAGCCUCCUGCACUGCUUUCUUUUCCUUUCAUGAUCUAGUGACCAAAGCUUGGGAAAUUCUGCCUUGUUUCCGACUUGAGGAGCGUUACUCCUUGCUGAAAGCUUAUCAUUCUUCUUGCCCUGAGAUGAGGCAGGUCCAACCAUUCUUUGAAAAAGAUGUUGAAAAAUGGAAAUAUCAGUAGUUGUUGGUGUGAAGCAGAGCUGCUUGGAAAACAAAGAGAAAGGAAUUGGAAAAAAAAAAAUUCAAAAGAUAUAAAUAGAGAGGCAAGAGGCGACUUGAGAUAACACAAACAUCUUCCAGAGAUGGAAGACACAUUUGUCUCAGAAGCGUAUCUGUGCACUGUUAUGACAGAUCUGUGCCCAUGGCCUGUUUCUGGCAUUCGGUCCUCAGUAGAUUCUACAUCACUAUCUGACACAAGUGUCUAUGAACAGCAUCAAUAUAUCAAACUGUUAAGCAGUAUCUUCCCAUGUAAGAUGUGUUUUUAUCAUUGUUUAUUUUUUCAGAAAACAAUAUGAAAACAUGUCUAAUUAAGUGUUCUCUACUUUUCCCCUCAGAAUCCAAAAAGUUUUUUAAUCGUGGGGGACAUUCAUUUCUGCUGAAGACUGCAUGACUUGAAACUUUGCCUAAUACACAUCAAAUGCUUAAACAGACGUUUUUAAUUACUAGCACAGUCUGUAGAGAUAUGUUUUGUAACGAGGAAUGUGGUUAAAGGCAAAGUGGUCCCAUUUGCCUUUGCAACAGACUGUUAACAUUUCAUUUUGACCUAUCCUUAUAGUACAGCUCUGUUUUCUUUCUAAAAAUGUAGAGUUUGUUGCUAAGCCAGGUAAAUGCAAAUGGACAAAUGCUGGCCUGCCAAUGCAAUGCUGGAGCCAGUGGACCUCUGCCUGUUCAUAUCCGCUCAGGAUAUUUCAUGAACACAUUUAAUUUCCAUUAAUGUAACGGCACAAAUCAGCAAAAUAUAAUAUAUAUAUAUAUUCUAAUGUCAUAUUUUAAACAUAAUGAGACAGAAAAAUAUGAAAAUUUAAGAAGUUUUUCUGUUCUUGAGAGCUGCAUAUCACAGAAUCACAGAAUUGUAGGAGUUGGAAGGGACCUCUGGAGGUCAUCUGGUCCAACUCCCUGCCACUAAGGUUCCCUACAAUAGGUUACGCAGGAAAAUGUCCAUGUGGGUCUUUAAUAUCUCCAGAGAAGGAGACUCCACAACCUCUCUGGGCAGCCUGUCCCAUUGCUCUGUCACCCUCAAAGUAAAGAAGUUUUGUAUGAAACUUCCUAACUUCUAGUUUGUGCCCAUGGCCCCUUGUUCCAUUGCUGGACACCACUGAAAUGAGCCUGGCCCAUCCACUUGAUUAGAUAUUUAUAAGAAUUGAGAAGAUUCUCCCUCAAUCUUCUCUUCUCUGAGCCUUUCCUCAUGAGGGAGAUGCUCCAGGACCCUAAUCAUCUUUGUGGCUCAUUUAUAGCUAUAAUUUACAUACAGCACCAUGGCUUCCUGUGCUGUGGGUUGCAUUUAGAAUCAUAGAAUCAUAGAAUGGUCUGGGUUGAAAAGGACCACAAUGACCAUCGAGUUUCAACCCCCCUGCUAUGUGCAGGGUUGCUAAUCACCAGACCAGGCUGCCCAGAGCCACAUCCAGCCUGGCCUUGAAUGCCUCCAGGGAUGGGGCAACCUUGGGCAACCUGUUCCAGUGUGUCACCACCCUCUGUGUGAAAAAAACUUAUUCCUAAUAUCCUACCUAAAUCUCCCCUGUCCCAUGGUGCAGAGAGCAGUCAUUGAAAAAUGCUUUUGGAUCUGUUAGGGCUCGUCUGGCAGAGAUCUCCAAAAAGGGUGAUAUGGAAAAUAUUCAGCUCUGCUAAGUGGGACGUAAAUUGAUGUGAGCUGGAUUUCAUGCUACAUCAAGAAAAAACAUGGCUGUAUAUAAUAGAACUUUCAUUUUCUCAGGAUUUAAUGUAUCUCAGGUUUAGAUCACUAGCUAAGCCAACUACGUAGGUUGAAGCAGAACCUUAACAUGAUGCUUUUUUUUUUUUUUGUAAAUAAAUAUUUGAAUGUUGGAGGAAAAUGCAGUAACUGUAAGUUGGUUUUAUGUUGCUUUACCUUUGGUUUGAUUUUGUCUGCUUCCUAUCUUACAAUAUGUUUUAAAGAGCUCGUGACUGAGGAUGAAGAUCUGAAUAUCAUUGCAACUUUAGAUACUAUCAAAGGAGAGAAAAAGAGCUGAAACUCUGGGAAGAAAAAUUUGGAAGGUUCCUCAGAGUGGCUGUCUCAAAAGUAACUCCCUUUCUACGUCUAUAAUCUGGCACCUAUAAACAGAAGAUGGGAAAAGGCAGAAGCCAUUAUGAAAAUCUUGCUUCCAGUACAAUGGGCAUUUUUUUCUCAGUUAGAAGCCCUGAAGGAGCUACCAAAUUGAAAACAGAGCUAUUGUCAGACAAGAGUACUUCCUGCUCUAUUAGAUACAUGGCUGCAGAUGUCUGUGAGCAACUUUUUCAAAACUGAGGAAAUCUGACAGCUUCACAAAUCAGACUAUUUUCUUAAUGUGCUGCAGCUUUUAGUGUUUCUGAGGUAUGCUGCUGGUGCUCUCAGUGAAUUACGCUUACUCUCUACAAUUACUCCCAGGACUCGUGCAGUAUCAGCAGAUUUUAUUUUUAGGGGAAAAUUAAAGGAAAGCAAGAUCCUUACAUCUAUAUUUUAUAUAUAAGCUUGUAUUUCAUGCCUAAUAUCCAUACCGUGACACAUGCAUUUUGUCUGCAUAUGAGAAUAAAGCAGACAUGCAUUUAUAUAUGUAUGUGUGUAUGUAUCCACAGACAUAUUUGCAUACCUACUCAUCUGUGAAUAUGGAAAUACCUUCAGAAAAUACCUUACAAUAAGCAACUGGGAAUUGGGCUAGAGUUACCUCCAGUGAACAUUACCAUUGCAUUUACAAGAGAGGCACAGUGCCUGCAUAACACUGUAAAGUACAAAUAAAAAAAAAAAAAAAAAAAGAGAACUGUUCAUUUAAAGCAUUAAUGGAAGUUUUGCAAAGUCAGCAUCCAGUGAUCUGCUGGGAUCAUGCCACAGCUUGCAUUCCCACCGUCACCAGCCAGUUCUCCUCCAAUCCAGCAGGUUCUCCAGCCCCACUGACAAUCCUGAAGUCAGAAGGCCACUGUGUGCCCACCCUCCUCAUCCUCAGAGAGGAAACCAGCUGCCCUUGUUGCAGUGCUCUUAGCAGGAAGCAGACAAGUCUGCUUGCAAAACACGCAGGUAGAUGUUCUGUUUGGAUUGAACUGAACAGUUUUUGACAGAUGUCAAAUCAAACACAGAUCUCAGAGCCCAGCAGUGUGAGAGAGAGCUCUCAUUGCACUGCAUGGAGGCCCGUGUUCUUCCCUCCAGGGUCCAUUUCAUGGUGCCUGCACAGAAAAAAUGAGUUCUUCUCUUUCUUCUGGAGACAGGCUAGGUUCAGUUCCUUUAAUUUAAAGCAAUAGUAUAUGCCAGUCUGGUAAAGACAGCUUCAGUCAGCAGUAUGACUCCUUUCUGAUACUGCUGCUGAGGCUGGCCACUGUCCUCAAGAUCUCAUGGCUCUACCUGCUGUCUCCCAACCAUGGCUAUUAAACUUCCAGAAACCUCCGUUCAUAAUACACAGCUCUGGUUGUGCUCGUAGUGUGAGCUUCUGGGAAUCCUCACCACAUCAAGGAUCCGUAUCUGAUGAGAUUUGAGUAUGUGGAGGCUGUAGGGCCUGUGUUCUGGCCUGUACUGUCAUUCCGUCCUCAACCAUACAGAGUGGGGCAGCACCACAAAACCAUACUCUUAUAACAGUGACCACAAUCACAUAACAGGGUAGAUACAGUGUCCAGGAGCUGGGAAUUCUCAUAUAUGGUCAGACACCUUGGAGAUAUAAAGAAGUGAGUUUUCUGAGGGGAAAAAAAAAAGAAAAAAAAAAGUUUUCUGAGGGGAAAAAAAAAAAGGAAAAAGAGACAGAAUUUCAGCCUAUAAAGAAAAAUAUUUAAGCUAAUGUAACAUAUCUUUCUGGGGAUACGUGUCCCAGUUCAUUUUUCAGCAGCAUGGGGCUGUAUCAGAGGAGGAUCAGGUUGGGUAUCAGGAAAAGGUUCUUCACCAGAGGGUGGCUGGGCCCUGGAAUGGGCUUCCCAGGGCAGUGGGAAUGGCACUGAGCUGCUGGACUUAACAAAGUGUUUGGAUGAUGCUCUCAGACACAGGGUUUGACUUUGAAGUGAUCCUGCAUGGAGCCAGGGGUUGGACUCAAUGAUCCUUAUGGGUCCCUUCCUAUUCAUGAUAUUCUAUGAUUCUAUGGUUCUUCUAUGGCAUCUGUCCAGCGUACAUUCUUCCCAUGAAGGACAACUCAAUUAAAAAAAUAUAUUUUCUCUGUAGUACGUGAUGGUCUUGUUUAUCAUUUUCCAUUAGGAUCCAUGCCCUGUGCCUCACCCAGGGCUGGAAUAAGGACUGUGGAUAUGUGAAGUAUGGGCCAGCAGCAGCAAGGAGUUCUGACACAGAAGUUUCAUUGCACAGAACUACGGUAGUUUCACUGCCAGCACUGAUAGGAGGGUACAGUAGAUUGGGCUGAUGUGUCUGUUACAAAAUAUAGAACCAAGUAGCAAAAAAGAGAGUCUGUAAUGUGGGCAGUUUUGUUUAUUGUGUGUUGAGAGUUCCAUUAACAGUUCAUCUAAUCUAGGUCAUAUAGAUGCCUUGUCUUGCUUUCUGUACCCUAUGCACUACAAUCUGAACUUCCUGUGUCAUGUAACAAAUUCUUUACAAAAUGAAAUAACAAUGUAAUUUUCUGGUCUUAGUAGCUUUCAUUUUAACUCUGACUACUGCAAUAAACAACCAUAAAAUAGUUGCAUUCCCACAUAGCCUUUAUUUGCCAAAACAACAGUACAUGGGUUGUUUUUUGUUACAUCCUAAGAAUAUGCAUGCACCAAAAUGUAUCCUAGGGUAUGAUGCAUUUGUAGACUUCACAGAGACUGAAAGACUCUUAAAUUCUAGCAGUCAAGCCUUGUUUAUUUAGGGCUUGCAUAUUUAACUGGUCAGUCUUUCUAUUAAUGACAUUUUUCAUUGCUUCUGGAUAAAUAACAGGGAAUCACUGGAAGAAAUGCUUGAACAGUUUUUAAAUAACCUGUUGGGUCUUGCAGGGGCUGUUGACAAAGUGGAUGACUUUGUCUCCUAUCAGCCUUUCUGAGUGCCACACCUGAAUUUCACCAGCCCCACAGCUCUCUGUCUUCUGGCCCACUGAGAUACUCACAGGGCGCCUGUUGGGUCAGCCUCACUUCCUCUACUGAAGUUCUUCACCGCCAAAGACAGAUUUUCCCUCUGUUCUCAAGGGGUGGUGGAUGUGAAAAAUGUGAAAGCCAAGACCUCACUUCAGCUCCAGCAGCAGAUUUGUAACU